rnacentral:rRNA from 1 species
GUGGGGAAUAUUGGACAAUGGGCGAAAGCCUGAUCCAGCCAUGCCGCGUGAGUGAUGAAGGCCUUAGGGUUGUAAAGCUCUUUUGUCCGGGAAGAUAAUGACGGUACCUACAGAAGAAGCCCCGGCUAACUUCGUGCCAGCAGCCGCGGUAAUACGAAGGGGGCUAGCGUUGUUCGGAUUUACUGGGCGUAAAGCGCACGUAGGCGGAUCGUUAAGUCGGGGGUGAAAUCCUGGAGCUCAACUCCAGAACUGCCUUCGAUACUGGCGAUCUUGAGUCCGGAAGAGGUGAGUGGAACUCCUAGUGUAGAGGUGGAAUUCGUAGAUAUUAGGAAGAACACCAGUGGCGAAGGCGGCUCACUGGUCCGGUACUGACGCUGAGGUGCGAAAGCGUGGGGAGCAAACAGGAUUAGAUACCCGAGUAGUCC